rnacentral:rRNA from 1 species
CAGUCGCCACGGGAAUACGGAGGGGGCUAGCGUUGUUCGGAAUUACUGGGCGUAAAGCGCACGUAGGCGGCUUGGUAAGUUAGAGGUGAAAGCCUGGAGCUCAACUCCAGAAUUGCCUUUAAGACUGCCGAGCUAGCAGGUGAGAGAGGUAAGUGGAAUUCCGAGUGUAGAGGUGAAAUUCGUAGAUAUUCGGAAGAACACCAGUGGCGAGGGCGGCUUACUGGCUCAUACUGGACGCUGAGGUGCGAAAGCGUGGGGAGCAAACAGGAUUAGAUACACGCGUAGUCCCUGUCUCUUAUAC